UUCCGGUUGAUCCCGCCGGACCCCACUGCUAUCGGGAUGGGACUAAGACAUGCUAGUUACGCGCCUUUCAGCUAUGUGGGAGGUAGCAGCGUACAGCUCAGUAACACGUGGCUAACCUGCCCUUGGGACGAGAAUAACCCCGGGAAACUGGGGCUAAUUCACGAUAGGUGACGAACUCUGGAAUGAGUCGUUGCCUAAAAGGUGUCGGAUCAUGCUUUCGGCAUCGCCCAAGGAUGGGGCCGCGUCCGAUCAGGUUGUUGGUGAGGUAACGGCUCACCAAGCCUUUUACCGGUGCGGGCCGUGAGAGCGGGAGCCCGGAGAUGGGCACUGAGACAAGGGCCCAGGUCCUACGGGGCGCAGCAGUCGCGAAAACUUUGCAAUACACGAAAGUGUGACAGGGUCAUCCCGAGUGCCGACCGCUGAGGUUGGCUUUUACCCAGUCUAGAAAGCUGGGGGAAUAAGGAGAGGGCAAGUCUGGUGUCAGCCGCCGCGGUAAUACCAGCUCUCCGAGUGGUGUGGACGUUUAUUGGGCCUAAAGCAUCCGUAGCUGGCUGGGCAAGUCCCCUGUUAAAUCCACCGAUUUAAUCGUUGGUGUGCGGGGGAUACUGCUCGGCUAGGGGACGAGAGAGGCAAGCGGUAUUCCCGGGGUAGGGGUGAAAUCCUAUAAUCCCGAGAAGACCACCAGUGGCGAAGGCUGCUUGCUAGAACGCGCCCGACGGUGAGGGAUGAAAGCUGGGGGAGCGAACCGGAUUAGAUACCCGGGUAGUCCCAGCUGUAAACGAUGCAGACUAGGUGUUUGGACGGCCACGUGCCGUUCUAGUGCCGCAGGGAAGCUGUUAAGUCUGCCGCCUGGGGAGUACGAUCGCAAGAUUGAAACUUAAAGGAAUUGGCGGGGGAGCACCACAAGGGGUGAAGCUUGCGGUUUAAUUGGAGUCAACGCCGGG
rnacentral:rRNA from 1 species